UAGGGAAUCUUCCGCAAUGGACGAAAGUCUGACGGAGCAACGCCGCGUGAGUGAUGAAGGCUUUCGGGUCGUAAAACUCUGUUGUUAGGGAAGAACAAGUACGAGAGUAACUGCUCGUACCUUGACGGUACCUAACCAGAAAGCCACGGCUAACUACGUGCCAGCAGCCGCGGUAAUACGUAGGUGGCAAGCGUUAUCCGGAAUUAUUGGGCGUAAAGCGCGCGCAGGCGGUUUCUUAAGUCUGAUGUGAAAGCCCACGGCUCAACCGUGGAGGGUCAUUGGAAACUGGGGAACUUGAGUGCAGAAGAGAAAAAGCGGAAUUCCACGUGUAGCGGUGAAAUGCGUAGAGAUGUGGAGGAACACCAGUGGCGAAGGCGGCUUUUUGGUCUGUAAACUGACGCUGAGGCGCGAAAAGCGUGGGGAGCAAAACAGGAUUAGAUACCCUGGUAGUCCACGCCGUAAACGAUGAGUGCUAAGUGUUAGAGGUUUCCGCCCUUUAGUGCUGCAGCUAACG
rnacentral:rRNA from 1 species